rnacentral:snRNA from 1 species
AACUGUGCAGUGUGGCAGUAUUGUAGCCAGUGAAGUUUAUCUGAGGUGCAAUUGUUGCUAAUUGAAAAUGUUUCCCAAUAUCCCACCAUGACAAUUUGAAUUAUAACUGGCAAAAGUUCUGGAGUCACAACUC